UGCAGUCGAGCGAAUCUUUAGGAGCUUGCUCCUAAUGGUUAGCGGCGGACGGGUGAGUAACACGUGGGCAACCUGCCUGUAAGACUGGGAUAACUUCGGGAAACCGGAGCUAAUACCGGAUAAUCCUUUUCCUCUCAUGAGGGGAAGCUGAAAGACGGUUUCGGCUGUCACUUACAGAUGGGCCCGCGGCGCAUUAGCUAGUUGGUGAGGUAACGGCUCACCAAGGCGACGAUGCGUAGCCGACCUGAGAGGGUGAUCGGCCACACUGGGACUGAGACACGGCCCAGACUCCUACGGGAGGCAGCAGUAGGGAAUCUUCCACAAUGGACGAAAGUCUGAUGGAGCAACGCCGCGUGAGCGAUGAAGGCCUUCGGGUCGUAAAGCUCUGUUGUUAGGGAAGAACAAGUAUCGGAGUAACUGCCGGUACCUUGACGGUACCUAACCAGAAAGCCACGGCUAACUACGUGCCAGCAGCCGCGGUAAUACGUAGGUGGCAAGCGUUGUCCGGAAUUAUUGGGCGUAAAGCGCGCGCAGGCGGUCCUUUAAGUCUGAUGUGAAAGCCCACGGCUCAACCGUGGAGGGUCAUUGGAAACUGAGGGACUUGAGUACAGAAGAGGAAAGCGGAAUUCCACGUGUAGCGGUGAAAUGCGUAGAGAUGUGGAGGAACACCAGUGGCGAAGGCGGCUUUCUGGUCUGUAACUGACGCUGAGGCGCGAAAGCGUGGGGGAGCAAACAGGAUUAGAUACCCCUGGUAGUCCACGCCCGUAAACGAUGAGUGCUAAGUGUUAGGGGGGUUUCCGGCCCCUUAAUUGUUGCAGCUAAACGCAUUAAGCACUCCCGCCUGGGGGAGUACGGGCCGCAAAGGUUGAAACUCCAAGGGAAUUUGACGGGGGGCCCCGACCAAGCGGGUGGAACCAUGGUGGGUUUAAUUUCCGAACCAACCCGGAAAAAACCUUUACCAAGGGCUUUGA
rnacentral:rRNA from 1 species